rnacentral:rRNA from 1 species
UCCUACGGGAGGCAGCAGUGGGGAAUAUUGGACAAUGGGCGCAAGCCUGAUCCAGCCAUGCCGCGUGAGUGAUGAAGGCCUUAGGGUUGUAAAGCUCUUUCACCCACGACGAUGAUGACGGUAGUGGGAGAAGAAGCCCCGGCUAACUUCGUGCCAGCAGCCGCGGUAAUACGAAGGGGGCUAGCGUUGUUCGGAAUUACUGGGCGUAAAGCGCACGCAGGCGGUUCGGUCAGUCAGAAGUGAAAGCCCCGGGCUUAACCUGGGAACUGCUUUUGAUACUGCCGAGCUUGAAUCACGGAGAGGGUAGUGGAAUUCCGAGUGUAGAGGUGAAAUUCGUAGAUAUUCGGAAGAACACCAGUGGCGAAGGCGACUACCUGGCCGUCGAUUGACGCUCAUGUGCGAAAGCGUGGGGAGCAAACAGGAUUAGAUACCCUGGUAG